rnacentral:rRNA from 1 species
GGAAUAUUGGUCAAUGGGCGAGAGCCUGAACCAGCCAAGUAGCGUGCAGGAUGACGGCCCUAUGGGUUGUAAACUGCUUUUAUACGGGGAUAAAGUGAGGGACGUGUCCCUUUUUGUAGGUACCGCAUGAAUAAGGACCGGCUAAUUCCGUGCCAGCAGCCGCGGUAAUACGGAAGGUCCGGGCGUUAUCCGGAUUUAUUGGGUUUAAAGGGAGCGCAGGCCGUAGAUUAAGCGUGACGUGAAAUGCCGCGGCUCAACCGUGGAAGUGCGUCGCGAACUGGUUUACUUGAGUGAGUGCGACGUCGGCGGAAUUCGUGGUGUAGCGGUGAAAUGCUUAGAUAUCACGAAGGACUCCGAUUGCGAAGGCAGCCAACAAGGCCUUUACUGACGCUAAAGCUCGAAAGUGCGGGUAUCGAACA